GAUGAACGCUGGCGGCGUGCCUAAUACAUGCAAGUCGAGCGAACAGACGAGGAGCUUGCUCCUUUGACGUUAGCGGCGGACGGGUGAGUAACACGUGGAUAACCUACCUAUAUGACUGGGAUAACUUCGGGAAACCGGAGCUAAUACCGGAUAAUAUAUUGAACCGCAUGGUUCGAUAGUGAAAGACGGCUUUGCUGUCACUUAUAGAUGGAUCUGCGCCGCAUUAGCUAGUUGGUAAGGUAACGGCUUACCAAGGCAACGAUGCGUAGCCGACCUGAGAGGCUGAUCGCCCACAUUGGAACGGAGACACGGUCCAGACUCCUGAGGGAGGCAGCAGUAGGGAAUCUUCCGCAAUGGGCGAAAGCUUGACGGAGCAACGCCGCGUGAGUGAUGAAGGUCUUCGGAUCGUAAAACUCUGUUAUGAGGGAAGAACAAAUGUGUAAGUAACUGUGCACGUCUUGACGGUACCUAAUCAGAAAGCCACGGCUAACUACGUG
rnacentral:rRNA from 1 species